rnacentral:rRNA from 1 species
GACGAACGCUGGCGGCGUGCUUAACACAUGCAAGUCGAACGGAAAGGCCCUGCUUUUGUGGGGUGCUCGAGUGGCGAACGGGUGGGUAACACGUGAGUAACCUGCCCUUGACUUUGGGAUAACUUCAGGAAACUGGGGCUAAUACCGUAUAGGAGCUCCUGCUGCAGGGGGGGGGUUGGAAAGUUUCGGCUGUUGGGGAGGGGCUCGCGGCUUAUCAGGUUGUUGGUGGGGUAGGGGCUUACCAAGGCUUUGACGGGUAGCCGGCCUGAGAGGGUGACCGGCCACAUUGGGACUGAGAUACGGCCCAGCCUCCUACGGGAGGCAGCAGUGGGGAAUAUUGCACAAUGGGCGGAAGCCUGAUGCAGCAACGCCGCGUGCGGGAUGAAGGCCUUCGGGUUGUAAACCGCUUUCGCCUGUGACGAAGCGUGAGUGACGGUAAUGGGUAAAGAAGCACCGGCUAACUACGUG